UGAGCAAUCUGCCCUUCUCAUCGGAAUAAGCGUUGGAAACGACGUCUAAUGCCGAAUACGACCUCCUUUCGCAUGAUCGGAGGUGGAAAGUUCCGGCGGUGGAGGAUGAGCUCGCGGCCUAUCAGCUUGUUGGUGAGGUAAUGGCUCACCAAGGCGACGACGGGUAGCCGGCCUGAGAGGGUGACCGGCCACACGUGGGACUGAGACACGGCCCAGACUCCGUACGGGAGCAG
rnacentral:rRNA from 1 species